UCCAGACUCCUACGGGAGGCAGCAGUGGGGAAUAUUGCACAAUGGGGGGAACCCUGAUGCAGCGACGCCGCGUGGGUGAAGGAGUACUUCGGUACGUAAAGCCCUAUCAGCAGGAAAGAAAAUGACGGUACCUGACUAAGAAGCCCCGGCUAACUACGUGCCAGCAGCCGCGGUAAUACGUAGGGGGCAAGCGUUAUCCGGAUUUACUGGGUGUAAAGGGAGCGUAGACGGCAGUGCAAGUCCGGAGUGAAAGCCCGGGGCUCAACCCUGGGACUGCUCUGGAAACUGUGCAGCUAGAGUGCAGGAGAGGCAGGCGGAAUUCCUAGUGUAGCGGUGAAAUGCGUAGAUAUUAGGAGGAACACCGGUGGCGAAGGCGGCCUGCUGGACUGUAACUGACGUUGAGGCUCGAAAGCGUGGGGAGCAAACAGGAUUAGAUACCCCCGUAUG
rnacentral:rRNA from 1 species